GACGUAGGGAGCGAGCGUUGUCCGGAUUCAUUGGGCGUAAAGAGCGCGUAGGCGGCCGUGCAAGUCGGACGUGAAAUCCCUCGGCUCAACCGAGGACGUGCAUCCGAAACUGCAGUGCUCGAGUAUGGAAGAGGGUCGCGGAAUUCUCGGUGUAGAGGUGAAAUUCGUAGAUAUCGGGAGGAACACCAGUGGCGAAGGCGGCGACCUGGGCCAAUACUGACGCUGAGGUGCGAAAGCGUGGGGAGCAAACAGG
rnacentral:rRNA from 1 species